ACGCGUCACUCAAAGUCUGCAAACAGGGGCAAACAUCAAGCGCUGUCACAUUUAUUGUGCCUUGCACCUCCAAUGGCUAGCUAGCUCUUGUCAUAUAAGCAUCACAUGUCUGCUGUCCCUCACCGCAGCCCCAUAACGGUGUCUGAUGCGAACUAUACAGUCUAUACAGAAUUUUUAAAAGUAAGCUUUGCUAUUUGCUAGAAAUCAUUAAUGGGCAUUUUCAAAAGUCAUUCAUGCAUGCUGGAGACCAAAUGCUGAUACAAUAGCAUAACUGUAAGGAGGAGAGCACCGUUCCACUCUUUGGCUACACAUGGACACAAAACUAUGUAUUCUUCCCUGGGCUAUUGGACUAUCUUAAUGUUGACUAGAUGUUAAUGGCAUACUUACUCAAUCGGUUGAUUUACUGCGUUAUCCAUGAGGAGUUUGAUUCUGGUAAUCACACGCAAUUUAAAAACCAGCAAGGCAGCAUCUCAGCGUCGCUGUAGCCAUCGUAUGAAAAUCCCAGUGUUUCCAAGUCCCCUUAAAACAUCAACAAAUAUAUAUAUAAAUAUAUAUUCUUUUAAGAUAGAGCGAUAAAGACAAACGUUGAAAGAAGAGAUGGACGGACUUGUCGCCCACACGCUGGCUCGCUCCGUUAUUUUGUCCAAGCGCGUUCAAAAUCCACUGAGAGCAGUUCGAAUCGAUGAGAUACGUGCUUGAUUGGGUAUCCCUUGUUGUAAUAAUGUACAUCAGAAGGAGGGGAUGGACUCGUGCUGUGCCUCAGCUGCUCUGAGAGCAUGGAUCAGCAGCUAUUGCCAAACACUUUCUUGGCUGCUAAUAGCACUUUUCCCCCUUCUUUGUGUGGCUGAUAGCAGCUAUUUAAAACGGCAACAGCGAAUCAGACGAGUCUUCCUUACUGCAAGAUCCCUUCUUCUGUUCAAAUCAUCUUCAAGAUCGAAUACAAUUGGUCCGCUGUCUGCUGCAAAGGUUAUGACUGUGGGCGCAAAUUAUUUUCUCGAAAACCAGAACACGGUAAGUUGUCAAAGGAUUUUUUUUCUUCUGCCAGAUGUGUGUGUCCGUGUCUUUGCCGUGUCGUGGUUUCCCAGUCUCAUGCUAGUCAAUAGUCAGAAAUAUCUGACCGGCAGGGGAGUCGCUCGAUAGGAACAAGAUCUCCUCUCCGUUCGCCAAGCUUGUUGGGGGACGAGAAAGAACAGUCUUUCACUGAUUCCGGAUGUUUUAGCCUAAUCUCGCUGCGUAUGCCACUACACCACUGCAUGCCGUUAGAUCCGCCCAAGCAUCUGUCCGUCUAACCAUUGGCGCAUCCAUCAGUGUCACACGCUCUGCACACUCGCACCGACCAUACCCCUCUCAGUAGACACAACAGCCUCGGCAUAGAGCCUUUUCUUUUCUGACACAUUCGCUUUGGUCAACAAGCUGGAGGUUUUCAGUGGUCUAAUGGUCGACAUUCUCAUGUCCUAAUACAAGAAAUCUAAAGGGAAUCAAUGCAGAUUUGAUGCAAUCGGUAGCUUUUCACUAGCAUUGCAUUGAGACAGUGGGCUAUGUAAAGCUGUGCGCCUCUCUGCCUCUAGUCGUCUGAAGCCUACUGUCAACUCUGGAAAGCCACUGCUACCUGAAAGAUUCACUAUGUUUUUUAAAUGCAAACUAUGGAAACCAUAUACACAUUUUGUCUCAAAUGGACUAAAAACAUCGUAUCCAAAGUUGUAUUUGGUUUGUGCGUAAAGACGCGUAAAAGUGGUGCUUUUUGGGAACGCACCAAAAGUCAAAGCGCAAUAAAGCGCUUUACUUGAGAUAGGCUGACUGAUAUCUCCUAAUGGUGCUGAGGACUAAAUUAGUUGUGGAAGUGGAAGACAACUGGAAAGGAUUGUCUGUACAUCUGUACAGUGUUCAAUAGGCCUAUUAUGAAAUAUACUGCUGAGAAUGAUGCAACAUGUUUCCAAGACAAUGUUGAAGAAUGUGAGAUUAUUUAUUUUUUUGCAUACAAUUUUACAGUAGUACAUAGUGCAUAGCAAUUCGAUAACUUGACCGUUCUCUUGGCGUUACUUUACUUUCAGUCCAGUAUUCGGUUACAUUUCUAAUCUACUCCUAAUCAUUCGCUCCCUCUAUUGAAAAUAGUGUGCCAAUGGCAUAAGUAAAGGCUACAAUACAUGAGCCAUAUUUAAAAUAAAAUUGUAUCGUGAAGUAAAAUGUAAAGAUGUCAAUUAUGCCCAUUUGUUGGAGUGUGUGUGUGUGUGUGUGUGUGUGUGUGUGUGUGUGUGUGUGUGUGUGUGUGUGUGUGUGUGUGUGUGUGUGUGUGUGUGUGUGUGUGUGUGUGUGUGUGUGUGGCUACGAGUGAGUGACCAGUACAGCAUUUCAACUUCAAGAUUAACGUCACAAAACGCUAUUGUUUUAAUUAAUAUGAUUUAUCUUGAACAUGUUUCUGCCUCAUUCGUUGUUUUCAAUGCCAAAUAGAAAUUCGUCAUAUCCCUCAUUCUGUUUGCAGAUAUAUGAUUCAGGCCAUUAUGUUCACAGGUUAGGCCAAACGUGCAUGCCAUUACAGCUUUGGAUAGGUCUACUGAAUUAAAAAAGACCGCAAUAAUUUUCCCUGCUAAAACAAAAGUUGAAGCUUGUGAUUCAUCCAGUUGGAGUUAGUUUCCAUGUUUAGCAGUGUAGCACAUUGAAGCCUAUAUUUAGAUUUGAAGGAAUGUGACGAGGCUAACUGCAACUCUUUUCUUCAGAUAUGGAUUCCUUAAAAAGUUGGAAUUAUAAUGACGUUUAUGAUUAUUUAAACUUA
ensembl:lncRNA